AGGCCCGAAACCAGACCAACCUAGGUCGUAUAAAAAUUUCUGAAACCCUAACUCCUCCCGAAUCCCCUCCAGCGCCGCUCCCACCUUCUACUCUCUCCACGAUCCCCUCCCCUCCCACCUCGCCGAGCCUCGAUCUGGCCGGAUCUUGCCAAUCCACACACGGAUCCAGCCUAACCAUCCCACAGCUGCGGCGGCGGGCCACCAGGACGGCGGCGGGAACCACCAACCCAUCUUGAGAUCUCAACAGCGGCGGGUACCAAGAACCGAUGCUGCACCAACCGCACGCGUCACAAGGAGGGCGAGUGUGGUUGUUGUUGGAGCAUUGAAUGUUGCGCUUGGCGCUGGACCAGCGGGGGCUGGGUGGGCCGCGACGCUUGAUUGGGUCGUUUCCAACUGCCCCGACGUCGGCAGCGAUGAGACGGUGCGCCAGCAGACAUGACCAUUUGCGCGCAAGGACCCCAUGAAUCCCGUGUACGCGGCCAAGGUGCCAGCGUCGAUGACAUAAUUUAUCAAUGGUGGGUUCAGUAGUAACUCAAAUCUGUUUUUCUGAAUGUGCCAGCGUGUGAUGGAAUUUAUCAUUGCUGCUGAGCUCUCUUUACUUUGGGCACUGUUUACCGGCAUCUCAAUCCCGACCUAGCAGGUCUGCUUACUGGCAUCAACAGGUACCACUCUCUCCCCUUCUCCUCUAGAAAAAUGCAUGAAUUGAAAAUUCACAGCAAACUGGACAAGAUCAGUAUACUAGCAUUGUUACACGAUUAAUUACUCCCUCCAUUUUUAUUUACUUUGCAUAUUAGAGUUGACUAAAGUCAAACUUCAUAAAGUUUGACCUAGUUUAUAGAAAAGAAUAUAGACAUUUAUCAUAAUAAAUCUAUACGAUGUGAAAGUACAUUUAAUAAUAAAUCUAAUGUUAUUGAUUUGUUAUUGUAUACCUUAAUAUUUUUGUAUAUAAACUUGGUCAAAGUUUGUAAACCUUGACUUUGACCAAAGCUAAUAUGCGAACUAAAUAAAAACGGAGGGAGUAUGAAAUACUGCAAGGUGGAUAUGGUUCUAAAAGUAUCAUCAACUAUUCAUUAUAUUAUUGUCCUAUGCAGCUGCAUUUGAUAAUAAUUGCCUUAUGUUUAGGAACGGAAGGAGUACUUUGUUACAUUGGAUCUCUUGGUGGUUAAUUUCCCGCAUUCUGGAGGAUUCAUGCUUGUUCACUACACUUUUGUAUGCAUGGUUGAUUGCAUGCAUUAUCUUUUGCUUGCCACCCGCAAUGGUUGUUCAAUAGAUUUUCUAUGUUCCAUUCAACAUGCACAUUAACUUGUUGACAUGUUUGGGCCAAACAAUAUGGAACAUGGAGGGUAUCUUGUCCUAAGACCCGAGCCAUUCACAUGUAUCGUAACGCUUUCCCUUACCUCUGGUGCAUCAUGCCAAUGUAUUUCUUUUUUCUAAUUCCCCAACUGCUAAUGAGUUACCUAAAGUUGAAUCUAUAUUGAAUACUCAUUUACUUUAAUAACUUGGUCAAUACUUGAUGUGCGCCUAGACAAGUGUAGCUACACAUUGGAAUCUUGAAUUUCAUUUUAGGGUGGCAUUUGUAUACUUUAUCUGGAAAUAAUACUUGCUUGUUAACCUCUGUUGUAUUGUCAUGAUAGUCGUUGUUAAGCUACAAUGAGAAAAUUUUGUCCAACCUUUGUCCUAUAGUGGGUGAUUGUCUUGUGAAAAAUACCUCUGUACUGUACUGUCAUGACACUUUGGUUGGCUUAUCAUAAUUGUAGUUGUUUCCUUCUUAUUACAGUAUAUGUGUCUUACAACAAAUAUGUUUCAAUUCAAUUGCUAUGUGGUCUGCAUGUUCUUCUCAUGUGCGAUCUUUCUUGAUCCCAGGAUAUUCUGCAAUCCAGAAGAACUGGCUACUCAGAAGUGGAUGACAGUGAACAGGAGAAGCUAUGGUUUCCUGAUUUGUUGUUAUGUGUACGUGUUGUCAUGAAGCAUAGUGGUUCUGGCUUUGUGUAAAAUCAUUAUAAGUAUAGUACCUCUUUAGAGGAGUUUAACGCUGAACUAUGUAUGUGAUUCAUGUACCUGAAGUAUCCACUAUGAUGCCUAUUGCUGAAAACAAUAUAACUAUUUAUUGAUAA